CAACUACUCCCUCCGUUUCAAAUUACUCGUCACAGAAAUGAAUGUAUCUAAAACUAAAAUACAUCUAGAUACAUCCAUUUCUGCGACAAGUAAUUUGAAACGGAGGGAGUAGUAC
rnacentral:pre_miRNA from 1 species